rnacentral:lncRNA from 1 species
UUCCCUUUUUCUUCCUUUUCCGUUCAGCCCCCCGACGGUGCUCCCCCCAGCCCGGUGUGUCGGUCGACGGUGGCGCGUGGUGGAGCUCUCCUCUUCUCCUCUCUUUUUCUUCUUUUUCUUUUUUUCUUUCUCUUUCUCUUUUGCUUUUUGUUUGUUGCUUGCUCCUUGCCUUUUUUGCUUCUUGGUUGGUUUGCUAGGUAUUAGGACGGUGACGGGUGCGGUGGCGGGUGCGGUGGUGCGGGAACGACGGCGGCGGUGGGCCUUUUUUGCUGCUGUUUUUGCUUCUUUUUUUUUGCUCAAAAAUUUUUGUUGUUUUUUUUUUUGGCUUUGCUUCCUUUUUUUAGGGGUUGAAAAACCCUUUUUAUUUUGAUGUUUUCUCCUCUAAUUUUUCAGGUUGCAGGUGGGUAGGGAGGGCUAGGCCGGCCGCCGCCGUUGCAGGCGCAAAUUGAGCUGAUUGCUGCCAGAGGGACCAAAAUGUAAUGGCAGCAAAACUUUUGGGGUCGAAACGUAAUUUUAAGAAAGUUUAGGGGUCAAAAUGUAAUUUUGAGAACUUUUAGGGGUUGAAAUGUAAUUUCAAAAUGUUUAGGGUUUUAAAUGUAAUUUUGAAAAAUUUUAGGGGUAAAAAUGCAAUUUUCUUAAAACAGAAAAUUAUUCCCGGACAAAAUUCAGUAAUUAUAAUUAUGGCAUGCCAACUAUAUCUGAC